UACAGAGGGUGCGAGCGUUGUUCGGAAUUAUUGGGCGUAAAGGGCGCGUAGGCGGUGCGGUAAGUCACCUGUGAAAUCUCCUGGCUCAACUGGGAGCUUGCAGGCGAAACUGCCGUGCUGGAGUGUGGGAGAGGUGCGUGGAAUUCCCGGUGUAGCGGUGAAAUGCGUAGAUAUCGGAGGAACACCUGUGGCGAAAGCGGCGCACUGGACCACAACUGACGCUGAGGCGCGAAAGCUAGGGGAGCAAACAGG
rnacentral:rRNA from 1 species